AGGCUGAAAAAAUGAAUGAAAAUUCCAGGAGUUAAUACAAACACCGAAACUCCUGCAGUGUAUCCCAUAACAGCUGCUCCUGUUUUAUCGAGAAGAAUCAAGUAACAGAAGAGGAGAUGAAACUGUUCCUCGGAGUGUAGAACAAGUGACUGCUUCUUCAUCGUCUGAUGAAAGACAUAAAGACAUUGCUCCUGAUGGAACAGUCUGGAUAAAAGCAGUGCUUAAUUCACAAGGUGCCCUGUUGUGGAACCCCAAAAUAUUAUUCCAUAUGUGGCAAGAGAUUGAAUGUAAGAAGAUGGUUUGUUAAAUGUACAAAGGAAACUAAAUACAAAUGUAUAAAUUGUGAAAAACAAUGAAGUAGCUGAAAUUUCUGUGCACAUGAAAAGUUCAAUUUUUUUAUGAAUUUAGAAGAAAGAAAAGCCUGUCACU